AGUAUGUCGUGCGAAUACCCUUGCUGUUGCACACAGAUCCAACAAUGGUACUUGGCGACUCAUACCGGACUGCUCUAAGAAGAUUAUGUUAUCUCCAGCCCCGUCUAAAUGCCGAUGUGAUUUUAAAGAAGUUUUAUUCGGAAACCAUAAAUGAUUACUUUGAAUUGGACCAGAUGAGACGUGUUGGAGCACAGCCUGGCACAAAGAACAAUAACCAUGCUUCCGGGGAAAUCGAGCACUGCUACCUGAACGCGCUGAAUGACUUAAUGGCGACCGGACCAAAGUUGUAUGUGGGUUUACCAGGAGUACUGAUAAGUUGGCAAGCUUUAAAGUAUGUGUUCGUGGCUGACGUUGAAAAAAUGUAUCGCUGCAUCAACUUAAAUGAAAAAGAUGCACAAUGUCACCGGGUACUGAGGAAACCGGAAGGUAGCGUUAAUAUAGAGAAAUAUAUUUGCUCAGGUGUAAUGUUUGGUACGAGCGCAGCAACAACUGGCCCCAAAUGAAGCGGACCAUUUUCCGUUGCUUAAGGAUGAAUGAAUGCGAAUGAAAAUGUUAGUAGAUGAUAUUUUGUCAGGUGCAAACAGCAAGUCAAAUUAUUGAAAUGUUGCAUCUGGGAUCUAGUUGUAAUACGUAAUACGUAAUACGUAAUACGUAAUACGUAAUACGUAAUACGUAAUUGGGCGAGUAACAGCCCGCAGCUGUUAAAGAAGAUGCCCAUCAAGCACCGUGAAGCAAAAGGAUUGCUGCAGUUUCAGUCGGAGGAGGCCAUACGUACACUUUGUCUAUAUUGCAGCCCGUCUGAGGAUGAGUUCCGAUUUCAUGUGAAUUUCGAAAUUUAGACCUCUACACCUACAAAACGAAUAAUGCUAUCGACCAUUGCGCGUCUGCUUGACCCAAUGGGGUGGCUAAGUUCCAUCAUUAUUAUGGCGAAGGUAACGAUGCAGUAUCUUUGCAGGGAUCGACUGAGUUAGGAUGAUAACGUAUCUCCAGCAGUUGAACAAAAAUGGAAAAGAUUUAUGAGGAAUUUGCCAAAAAUCUCGGAAGUUCGAAUUCCGCGCUAUAUCAACAAUGGAUCAUCGGCUCGGGGUGGAUAUAUAUUUGUACGUAUAUUUUGUGAUGCCUCAGAUAGCGCUUAAGCCGCGGUGGCAUAUUUGCGAGUUCAAACAAGAGACCAUGAGUAUUGCAGUGAAUUUAUUUACUCGAAAACUAAGGUUUCGUUGUAAGUAUUUGAAACACAAUCUAAAUUUGAUGAUAAACUUUAAUGAAACACGAUGAAUUUGGGAACUAAGUAAAGUAAAAAGCGAGACUUGAAGCGCGGGGCUUCACUCAAGAAUAUAUGACUGAUUACGAUGAGACAUUUGCACCAGUUGCACGAAUUUCCAGUUUUCGAUUUUUGUUGGCACUUUCAAAUCAAUACUAUUUAAUGGUUCAUCAUAUGGACGUAAAAACUGCUUUUUUAAACGGAACUCUACUCGAAAACUAAGGUUUCGUUAUUCGAUGAUUACACUCAGCUGGAUACAAGGAGGAUCGUCGAAAUGGAAUCUUUUUGUAUUAAAUCGUAUUAGUAAGAUCCUAGCCGUUUCAGAAGCACGACAAUAGAGACACGUUGCAUCAACAGACAACCCGGCGGAUCUUCUAAGCCGCGGACUUGAUGUGGAAAAAUGAUCAACGUGUGCUUUGUGUUGGCAUGGGCUACAAUGGCGAUGAGAUGAAAGGUAUAAAAAGCUGCGCAAUUUCAACUGGGAGGAGGGUCUGCGCGUCUUAUGUAUUAUGGCAUAUGUAUUACGUUUUGGCAAGAACUGUCGCAGAACGAGAGCCAAACGUAAAACCAAUGAUUCCCUUCAGACGCCAUAGGCAAAACAAGUUAACGAAAACAGCGUGCCUUUAAACUUCAAUCCCUAAUUUGAUGCCCAGAAAAAGUAAUUCGAUUGGGCGGCAGAUUACGUGAUGCAAUGAUGUCUCAAAGGAAAAAUUUUUCUUAUAUCCUUCCGAAUAAACAUGAUUAUAUUACAUUGGUGGUGCAAAAUGCUCAUGCCAGUACUCUUCAUGGUGGCGCCGCGCUCACGUUAGAUUUCAUUCGCAAAAGGUUUUGGAUUAUUGAUGGAAGAAACGCAGUCCGGUCUGUGACACACAAAUGUAUGGUGUGUUUCUGAUUGAGGCCUGGGCUUGCUAAACAACAAUUGGGUAAUUUAUCAGCGUCACAUCAGCAGGAGUUGACUACGCUGGACCCAUAAGUAUCCCUCCUUCGAAACGUCGUACUGCUGUUAAGGGAGGUGUUGCAGUCUUUAUUUAUUUGGAUUCAUUCAUUGGAGCUCUGCAUCGUUAUGCUGGGAGACGAUGACUUUGUCGGGAAUUAUAUUGGAAUUGCGGGACAAACUUUUUCGGUGCAAAUAAAAAAGUGCAGGCUGACCAAUUGGCAUAUCAAAGGUAUAUUGCAAAGUCGAUAAUUCCAAGUCUCGUUGACAAAGGUAUCACAUGCCGUUUCAACCCGUGCACAAUGUCACCGGGUACUGAGGAAACCGGAAGGUAGCGUUAAUAUAGAGAAAUAUAUUUGCUCAGGUGUAAUGUUUGGUACGAGCGCUGCAACAACUGGCCCCAAAUGAAGCGGACCAUUUUCCGUUGCUUAAGGAUGAAUGAAUGCGAAUGAAAAUGUUAGUAGAUGAUAUUUUGUCAGGUGCAAACAGCAAGUCAAAUUAUAGAAAUGUUGCAUCUGGGUACUUUUACACUACGUAAUUGGGCGAGUAACAGCUGUUAAAGAAGAUGCCCAUCAAGCACCGUGAAGCAAAAGGAUUGCUGCAGUUUCAGUCGGAGGAGGCCAUACGUACACUUUGUCUAUAUUGCAGCCCGUCUGAGGAUGAGUUCCGAUUUCAUGUGAAUUUCGAAAUUUAGACCUCUACACCUACAAAACGAAUAAUGCUAUCGACCAUUGCGCGUCUGCUUGACCCAAUGGGGUGGCUAAGUUCCAUCAUUAUUAUGGCGAAGGUAACGAUGCAGUAUCUUUGCAGGGACCGACUGAGUUAGGAUGAUAACGUAUCUCCAGCAGUUGAACAAAAAUGGAAAAGAUUUAUAAGGAAUUUGCCAAAAAUCUCGGAAGUUCGAAUUCCGCGCUAUAUCAACAAUGGAUCAUCGGCUCGGGGUGGAUAUAUAUUUGUACGUAUAUUUUCUGAUGCCUCAGAUAGCGCUUAAGCCGCGGUGGCAUAUUUGCGAGUUCAAACAAGAGACCAUGAGUAUUGCAGUGAAUUUAUUUACUCGAAAACUAAGGUUUCGUUAUUCGAUGAUUACACUCAGCUGGAUACAAGGAGGAUCGUCGAAAUGGAAUCUUUUUGUAUUAAAUCGUAUUAGUAAGAUCCUAGCCGUUUCAGAAGCACGACAAUAGAGACACGUUGCAUCAACAGACAACCCGGCGGAUCUUCUAAGCCGCGGACUUGAUGUGGAAAAAUGAUCAACGUGUGCUUUGUGUUGGCAUGGGCUACAAUGGCGAUGAGAUGAAAGGUAUAAAAAGCUGCGCAAUUUCAACUGGGAGGACGGUCUGCGCGUCUUACGUAUUAUAGC